GGAAUCAAAAUCAUAGUAUAUUUCUUAACUGUUUAGUGAAUAAUAUUCAGAUAUCACAAUAAUGCAAUGCUGUUAAUUUAUCCCAAAAUAUUAUCUAAAAGUAUAAAUGUCAAUACCAACAGGUACAGCUCAAAAUAUUGAAGGAGAUUAUGUCUGGGGACUAGAACUACAGGUAUAAGAGGGUGAGGAAAGAAAUGCUGCCUUUAACUAUGAAUUUUGGAAUUAUGGGAAAAUCCCUUGAUGACACUCCCUACAAUAACAUGAAUUUCAAGAACCGGAUUCUCAUACUACAAAUCACUCCAAAAGAAUCUUCUGUCCCAGCUUCUUUGACUUCCAUCAUGUACCAUGUCCUGAAGGAGCAAUCCAACAUCUCCCAUGACUGGACUCUUUUAUACCAAGAGGAAGAAAAGGAAAUGAACCACAGAUAGCAAAGUGGUCUACCCUCAGCCACACAGUAAUUAUGGGGAAGAUCUAGGGUUUCCUGUUCUUGGCCUGGCCUGCUGAGGCAUUUUGUCUUGGUAAGUUACUUAACCCUAUCUGGGUUUUGUUUUGUUUUUUUCAUCUUUAGCCUUUAAAAAAAAAAAAAAAAAAAAAGACCAUCUAUUUC
rnacentral:lncRNA from 1 species